rnacentral:ncRNA from 1 species
CUCCUUCGCUAAGGAGCUCCUUAUGCGAAAACUGACGGCUGCUCUGAUAGUUAGCCUGAUAGGGUUGAUUGCACUGUCCGUGUCGACCACGGCUGCUGCAUGCGACGGAACUUCCGGUUCUGGCUAUUCGAACCCAAAGUGACCGCCUCGCCCGAAUGCGCUGAGUGCGCACAAAAAAAGGCCUUCAUCUGACGAUGAAGGCCUUUUACU